ACAGCAGUCUCCGCGGGAAUACGAAGGGUGCAAGCGUUAAUCGGAAUUACUGGGCGUAAAGCGUGCGUAGGCGGUGGUUUAAGUCCGUUGUGAAAGCCCUGGGCUCAACCUGGGAAUUGCAGUGGAUACUGGGUCACUAGAGUGUGGUAGAGGAUAGUGGAAUUUCCGGUGUAGCAGUGAAAUGCGUAGAGAUCGGAAGGAACAUCUGUGGCGAAGGCGACUAUCUGGGCCAACACUGACACUGAGGCACGAAAGCGUGGGGAGCAAACAGGAUUAGAUACCCCAGUAGUCCCUGUCUCUUAUAC
rnacentral:rRNA from 1 species